CAGAGGCUGGAAGAACAGGCAGAACAGUCCCUUCCCAGAAGAGUCCCUGCCCAGCAAGCAGGCAAGCUUACUGUCACACAAACACCCACAGGCAGCAAAGGAUUUAACUACGGCUCAAGCUCCAGGUCCUGGUCACCCAGUUUCCACAGCCACAUUGGCAACUGGAAAAUUAACACAGCCAUCGUUGUCUUUAGCUCAUCUCCCAGGAUUUUCAAAUUACAGACUCCUUGAGAACAGGGAGUGUGGCUGUCUGUGGCUCACCAUUCUAUUCCCAG